GGUCAAACAUCUCAUACCGAAAUUCCAGACUUAAUUUCGAUUAUCGACUAUGUACAUUGAAAAUUUUUGGUUUGCAACUUUACGCUUUGAUUUACCUAUUUGAAUGGAUUGGAAUGUCCGGAAUGUAACUGAGGGAGAGGAUCAACAAUACUGAUGACCUAAACGACCGUUUUUUCAUUUCAUUCACAAAAAAACACUGGUAUGGUGCAUGGUCACGAAAGUUGUUGUUCAUUCAAUUGAAUAGCCAUAUUGAAAUACUCACGGACACACGGGAUCACAAUGGUUACAACCACCCGACAUCGGGACAUUGGAAAACUAUUGAGGCCAAAUCCAGGUCUUUUUUCAUUUAGAAAAAUAUUUCAAAUACGUUCUUAUUCCCUCAGAAAAAUUUUCAUUGAAUUUUCUUUCUUUUUGCCUUUUUCAAUCAAAAGCUAGACAAAAACAAGGCGGCAAAAUUAGAAUGAAUUUUUCCCACUAAUUCAUCUGAAUCAUUCAUUAUUGUUCCAUGGUCAUCAAUGGCCACAACAAGUGAGAAAAAGGUGCCAAAAAUUUUAAUCAGACAGCUACACAUCCCCAAAAGAAAGAAAAUUUCUCUCAAAAAUUAUUUGCAGUGAUCUAUAUACGAGUGUACAGUUUAAUAGUUGAAUAGCAAAAGCUCAUAUAGGGAUUAUAAUUAAAAUUUCAGACAAAUAAGCUGACCAUAUCAUCUAUAAUGAUUGCCCCAUUUCGCGCUGUGAUCGUCUCAUCAUAUUGUUGUUACAUCGCUUUUCAUUAAACUGCCAUAAACUAGAUCCUGGGAUUCAUCAAUUGUGUUCAUCAUUCCAAAUGAACCAAUGGAUAUGUUAACCCUUGUCUUUCAUCAGCCGUUGCAUUUGUUUCGUGCAAUCAAAUUUUUGUGGCCAGGAUGUUUUGCCUAGUUACCAGGUGUCUUAUACUUGUAUUUAUAAACAACAAUUAAUCCAGGUGAGCUCAAUCAUCAUCAUCACUCAUGUAAAUCCUCAUCAUGGAGAGAAUUCGGUAUGUUUGGAAUGUGCCGAUCAAAUCCUAUCGAAUAAUUGUUGAUCGGCUACAAUAAUGAUAAUCUCUUGCAAUAGAUUCAUAAAAUGGAAUGACAAUUAUUAGGAAAGAACCAAUCCAUUUUUUGAUUAUGAUCUCUAAUAGUCAAACAAA